rnacentral:rRNA from 1 species
AGCGAACGCUGGCGGCAGGCUUAACACAUGCAAGUCGAGGGGAGCGGCAGACGGGUGAGUAACGCGAGGGAACGUACCUUUUGGUUCGGAACAACACAGGGAAACUGGUGCUAAUACCGGAUACCGAAAGAUCGGCCCGCGUCUGAUUAGCUAGUUGGUGAGGUAAUGGGUCACCAAGGCGACGAUCAGUAGCUGGUCUGAGAGGAUGAUCAGGCACAUUGGGACUGAGACACGGCCCAAACUCCUACGGGAGGCAGCAGGGGGGAAUAUUCGACACUGGGGGAAACCCUGAGCCAGCCAGGCUGCGUAAGUGAUGUAGGCCCUAGGGUUGUAAAGCUCUUUUGUGCGGGAAGCGGUACCGCAAGAAUAAGCCCCGGCUAACUUCGUGCCAGCAGCCGCGGUAAUUC